rnacentral:rRNA from 1 species
GCGUGAGUGAAGAAGGCCCUAGGGUUGUAAAGCUCUUUCACUGAUGAAGAUGAUGACGGUAAUCAGAGAAGAAGCCCCGGCUAACUCCGUGCCAGCAGCCGCGGUAAUACGGAGGGGGCAAGCGUUGUUCGGAAUUACUGGGCGUAAAGCGCACGUAGGCGGCGGAUCAAGUCAGAGGUGAAAGCCCGGGGCUCAACCCCGGAAUUGCCUUUGAGACUGAUUUGCUUGAGUUCGGAAGAGGGUAGUGGAAUUCCAAGUGUAGAGGUGAAAUUCGU